rnacentral:rRNA from 1 species
UACAGAGGGUGCAAGCGUUAAUCGGAAUUACGUGGGCGUAAAAGCGUGCGUAGACGGUAGCGUAAGUCGGGUGUGAAAGCCCCGGCUCAACCUGGGAAUUGCAUUCGAGACUGCUCUGCUAGGGUGCGGAAGAGGGAAGCGGAAUUUCCGGUGUAGCGGUGAAAUGCGUAGAUAUCGGAAGGAACACCAGUGGCGAAAGCG